rnacentral:rRNA from 1 species
GACUCUCGGCAACGGAUAUCUCGGCUCUCGCAUCGAUGAAGAACGUAGCGAAAUGCGAUACUUGGUGUGAAUUGCAGAAUCCCGUGAACCAUCGAGUCUUUGAACGCGGCACCGGUUGAUCCGUGCCAGCCGCAACUUGCCUCAAAGUUC